rnacentral:ncRNA from 1 species
UCCGGCGUUAUUCUGGGCAGCCGCGGAUGCUGGCUCAAGAGCAACGACAAGGCGUUGGCAUCAAUUGGGCUCAAUAUCACACGGAAGAUGAAAGAACACCUGAGCUGGUUGACGUUUGAAAACACCAUCCGAAUUUAUAACUCAUUCAUGAAGAACUGAGGUUUUUGUUUUCUUUUACCUUUUACCAUUUUUUAUUGUUACAUUGUUGUUAUUUGCUUUAAUCCUGCAUUUUACCGUCGGCAAUUCCAUCGUUAUUAUUACUGUUAUUGUUAUUAUUAUUACUAUUGUUAUUACUUUUACUUACUAUUGUUAUUACGAUUUAUUUCGUAUACUUACGUUAUUGUUACUACUACUUACUUUGCUCUCGCAAACGUUCGUUGUUGUUACUUUUGGACCAGGUUAAGAGAAAUCGCACGCACAGCGGAACUGGACCGCUUAAGCCAGAAACAGUAAAGUAACAAUAGCCAAAUGCCUCGUCAUCUAAUUAGUGACGCGUAUGAAUGGAUCAACAAGAUUCCUUCUGUCCCUAUCUACUAUCUAGCGAAACCACAGCCAAGGGAACGGGCUUGGCAAAAUCAGCGGGGAAAGAAGACCCUGUUGAGCUUGACUCUAGUCUGACUCUGUGAA